rnacentral:misc_RNA from 1 species
UUCGAGCGUCAUUUCAACCCUCAAGCCCAGCUUGGUAUUGGGUGUCACCUGGCAAUGGUGCGCCUUAAAAUCAGUGGCGGUGCUAUCUGGCUUCAAGUGUAGUAAAUAUCCUCGCUAUAGGGACUUGGUGAUUAUUGGCCAGUAACCCCCAAUUUUCUAAGUUUGACCUCGGAUCAGGUAGGGAUACCCGCUGAACUUAA